GAUGAACGCUGGCGGCGUGCAUAACACAUUCAAGUCGAACGGUGACGGGACUUCGGUCCCUGAUCAGUGGCGGACGGGUGAGUAACGCGUGAGCAACCUGCCCUUAUGUGGGGGACAACGUUUGGAAACGAACGCUAAUACCGCAUAACGUUACGAGAUCGCAUGUUCUUGUAACCAAAGAUUUAUUGCGUAAGGAUGGGCUCGCGUUGGAUUAGAUAGUUGGUGAGGUAACGGCCCACCAAGUCUACGAUCCAUAGCCGGACUGAGAGGUUGAACGGCCACAUUGGAACUGAGAACGGUCCAG
rnacentral:rRNA from 1 species